rnacentral:misc_RNA from 1 species
UACGAAGGGUGCAAGCGUUGUUCGGAUUUAUUGGGCGUAAAGCGCGCGCAGGCGGAUUGGUAAGUCAGAUGUGAAAUCCCGGGGCUCAACCUCGGAACUGCGUCUGAAACUAUCAAUCUAGAGUCUCGGAGAGGAAAGUGGAAUUUCGCAUGUAGGGGUAAAAUCCGUAGAGAUGCGAAGGAACAUCAGUGGCGAAGGCGACUUUCUGGACGAGUACUGACGCUGAGGCGCGAAAGCGUGGGGAGCAAACAGG